GGCGCUAUAGCUCAGUGGCAGAGCACUGGUCUUGUAAACCAGGGGUCGCGAGUUCGAUCCUCGCUGGAGCCU
rnacentral:tRNA from 1 species